rnacentral:rRNA from 1 species
AUGACUAGGGAUAACCUUAGGAAGAGACACAUCAUCAAACCCCCUGAUUGUGUUUACUGCUUGGAACAAGAGUCUUGUUCUCACCUAUUUUUUGAAUGUAUAAUUGCUAAACAUCUCUGGGCUCACAUUGAAGAAUAUUUCUCUAGUCAGAUUGGCUCAUCCUUCGAAUCUGUCGCCAGAUUCUGGAUUGCUACUAAAAACUGCUCAGUGUUAAACACUGUUAGCUCAGCUGUCCUUUGGUGCCUUUGGAAAUAUAGAAAUGCUAUGAUUUUCAGUAACACCUCCUGGAUUUCCAUUUCGCAGAUCUUGAUGUUGAUCAGGAACAUGGUGAGGAACUGGGCGAUUCUCUCCUCCGGAUCGGACAAGGACAAGUUGAUGAGCUUCAUGGAAACCCUAACAAGAUCCCUCCAGAAAUCGUUGGCGAUCACUUGUGGCUGA